GACGAACGCUGGCGGCGUGCUUAACACAUGCAAGUCGAACGAUGAAGCAGAGACACGCGAACUUCGGUUCAAAUUUCACUUCGGAUUAGUGGCAGACGGGUGAGUAACGCGUGAGCAACCUACCUCUUACAAAGGGAUAGCCUCGGGAAACCGUGAUUAAUACCAUAUGACACAUUCAUAAGGCAUCUUAAGAAUGUUAAAGCUACGGCGGUAAGAGAUGGGCUCGCGUCCCAUUAGCUAGUUGGUGAGGUAACGGCCCACCAAGGCGACGAUGGGUAACCGGCCUGAGAAGGUGAACGGUCACAUUGGAACUGAGACACGGUCCAAACUCCUGCGGGAGGCAGCAGUGGGGAAUAUUGCACAAUGGAGGGAACUCUGAUGCAGCGACGCCGCGUGAGCGAUGAAGGAAUUCGUUUCGUAAAGCUCUGUUCUAUGGGAAGAAAAGGACUGUACCAUAGGAGAAAGCCCCGGCUAAAUACGUG
rnacentral:rRNA from 1 species